rnacentral:rRNA from 1 species
ACACAUCGUGCCCAGUCGUGGGGGAUAACGCAGCGAAAGCUGUGCUAAUACCGCAUACGAUCUCUGGAUGAAAGCGGGGGACUCGCGAGAGCCCUCGCGCGAUUGGAGCGGCCGAUAUCAGAUUAGCUAGUUGGCGGGGUAAAAGCCCACCAAGGCGACGAUCUGUAGCUGGUCUGAGAGGACGACCAGCCACACUGGAACUGAGACACGGUCCAGACUCCUACGGGAGGCAGCAGUGGGGAAUUUUGGACAAUGGGCGAAAGCCUGAUCCAGCAAUGCCGCGUGCAGGAUGAAGGCCUUCGGGUUGUAAACUGCUUUUGUACGGAACGAAACGGUCUGCCUUAAUACGGUGGGCUAAUGACGGUACCGUAAGAAUAAGCACCGGCUAACUACGUGCCAGCAGCCGCGGUAAUACGUAGGGUGCGAGCGUUAAUCGGAAUUACUGGGCGUAAAGCGUGCGCAGGCGGUUAUAUAAGACAGAUGUGAAAUCCCCGGGCUCAACCUGGGACCUGCAUUUGUGACUGUAUAGCUAGAGUACGGUAGAGGGGGAUGGAAUUCCGCGUGUAGCAGUGAAAUGCGUAGAUAUGCGGAGGAACACCGAUGGCGAAGGCAAUCCCCUGGACCUGUACUGACG